rnacentral:rRNA from 1 species
AUUGAACGCUGGCGGCAGGCCUAACACAUGCAAGUCGAGCGGAUGAAGGGAGCUUGCUCCUGGAUUCAGCGGCGGACGGGUGAGUAAUGCCUAGGAAUCUGCCUGGUAGUGGGGGAUAACGUCCGGAAACGGGCGCUAAUACCGCAUACGUCCUGAGGGAGAAAGUGGGGGAUCUUCGGACCUCACGCUAUCAGAUGAGCCUAGGUCGGAUUAGCUAGUUGGUGGGGUAAAGGCCUACCAAGGCGACGAUCCGUAACUGGUCUGAGAGGAUGAUCAGUCACACUGGAACUGAGACACGGUCCAGACUCCUACGGGAGGCAGCAGUAGGGAAUAUUGGACAAUGGGCGAAAGCCUGAUCCAGCCAUGCCGCGUGUGUGAAGAAGGUCUUCGGAUUGUAAAGCACUUUAAGUUGGGAGGAAGGGCAGUAAGUUAAUACCUUGCUGUUUUGACGUUACCAACAGAAUAAGCACCGGCUAACUACGUG